rnacentral:tRNA from 1 species
GCGUAGCUCAGCUGGAUAGAGCGUCUGACUACGGAUCAGAAGGCCGGGGGUUCGAAUCCUCUCGC